CGACGACGCCCCCCAUUUCGGAGCUCCUCCUCGCGAUUCCAAUCCCCGCACGUCUCCUCCGCCUCCGCCUCGCGCAGGGUUAGGGUUUGCUCUGCUCCCCAUCUUGUCGCUUUUGUUUUUUUCCUGUGAGAUUUGGUAGGGAAGGCCUGAUCUGUGUCUUCCGGUGCCUGAUUCAGCGUCUCUUGAUCGAUCUGCGCGGUUUUCUUGUGAUUUUUUUGGGGUGUUGAUUCGUUGGUGCGGGGAAUUCCACGGGCCGUGGAAUCGCGAAGGGGACGGGCGCUUCGAGGUUCGUGUGUUGAUUCGGUCUUCGGUUGGGGGUUUCUUCUGUUCAGGUUGAGUCUUUUGGGUGGGGAAAUGAAAACGCGUUCUUGUUUUUUUCUUCUUCUUAUUUUUUUUAAAAAUUGUAUGAAGGUUGUUUCUCUUGUCCAAACGAUUAGGCUUUACCUGUCUUUUUUUUGUCUGAUUUUUUAGAGUUCGUAGCGCUGCUAAAUGUUACUAGUGAUUCAAGUGUUUUAUUCCAUGGAAAUCGUGCGUAUCUAGUUGUAAGCGGUGGAUUAGUUAAAUUACUUGGCAGAUUUGGUGCAUAUUGUCCUCGAUUUGCAUCACCAUGGUUUUUUUUUACAAAGAUUGGAAUUGAUAUACCCUGAUUUGUUUAGGAAUGUCGUUUUGAUUUGUAUUACACAACGUAUUUUGUGAUAGUGGCUUCCGCGAUGCUCUCCCUAAAAAUUAGGAUCUCGUUUCAUCAAGUACAACAUCUGCAUGACUUAUAUUUGCUGAAGUGACAAAUCGUGUGGUUAUUUACAUCGAUUGUUUAAUGUGCAGCUUAUAGUAGUCAUGGAACACAAGGAGGCGGGCUGCCAGCAACCCGAGGGCCCAAUCCUAUGCAUCAACAACUGUGGCUUCUUUGGCAGUGCGGCCACCAUGAACAUGUGCUCCAAGUGCCAUAAGGAGAUGAUAAUGAAGCAGGAGCAGGCCCAGCUAGCUGCCUCCUCCAUCGAUAGCAUUGUUAAUGGUGGUGACGGUGUGAAAGGCCCUGCCAUAGCUGCAACUGCCGAGGUGGUGUUUGCUCAAGUUGAGGAGAAGGCAAUUUUUGUGCAGCCUCCAGUUGUAGCUGAAACCAGCGAGGCUGCUGCUGUAAUCCCCAAGGCCAAGGAAGGCCCGAACCGGUGCGCAACCUGUAGGAAGCGGGUUGGCCUGACGGGAUUCAACUGCCGAUGCGGUAACAUGUACUGUGCGGUGCACCGCUAUUCCGACAAACAUGACUGCCACUUUGACUAUCGGACUGCAGCUAGGGAUGCGAUUGCCAAGGCCAAUCCUGUGGUGAAGGCGGAGAAGCUCGACAAGAUCUGAGGGGUAAUGGGGAGCGGAAUUGGUUAUGAUCUGCAAGAUUCAGUCAUGCAUCUUUGCUGCUUUAUCAUUGAACUUCCCAUUCUUGUUUGCUGCCACAUCCCCGAGUUGUUCAACACUGAUGCACAUGCAUCCUGGCAGCUGCAAGAAUUCAUCCCCAGUCGAGUCCAAAAUGGUUUGCGUGUUGGCUAUGUUGUGUAAGCUUAUUCAGUUAUUCAUGGUGGUUUGGUUGGUAUUGUGGCAUUCCCAUUUAGGUAGCUCUGUAAUGUACUACUGUCUCGUGCGUGUUACAUCCCAAUCAGUAAUAGUAAUCAGCAAUGGUCUGCCAUAUUUCCUCGCAAUUUUCUGGUUCUCUUCUUUUCAUGUGCGCUUGUGAAUUUCAUUCAGAGCAAUGGGGGCAAUUGCUCAGAUGUUUGAUAUUAUCUGAAGUUUUGAUGUGUGGAGCUAUUGACCAAUCAACUGUUCUUGCUUCGUGCUCUCUGAAGUGGAAGCAAUCAGCUUCCGCUGCUUGCAUGAAGUGGGAUUGUUGUGGAUGAACACUGCAUUUUAAAAUCAUGUAGCAGCCGAGAGAGCUGUGGAUGGAGCUUUAUUGUUGGGUAUGCUGAUUCUUUAUUACAACACAGUCUAUGCAAACGCAAUUACUUGGUGCAAACACAGUCAAUUCAUCAUGAUCUAUUUUGGAAAAUCCUGUAAACAAAGGAACUUGCUUGCAUGGUUUCCACAAUUCUUAUCCUUCUCUCUUUCUAGUCUGUGCAAGUGGGGACAUGCAGCUCUCCUUUUUACAUGUGAUUGGUACGAAGCCUAAUUUGUUUUUGUAUGAUUGUCACCUGCAAAGAAUUGGAACAAGUCUAAACAACUUGUUUUUGUAUGAUUCACUUGCAAAGAAGAUAAUUCGUACGAAAAAAAUAUUCUUCUGCAUGGGGGGAAUAUUUUUGCUCCUCAAUUUGUGGGUGGGUCUCUUCAGACAUCAUGGGAACAUUGAGCAACUCUUGUGCCGGGUGUUGAGCUGCGAUGGAUUAAAGAACGCAAGCAAUGAUAUAGGUUCUGUUUGGAUCCACUAGCUAUAUUUGAGCUGGUUAAAUUUAACUGCUAUGGAUGCAAAUAUGAUCUAACUAGUUUAAUUUUUUGUAGUUGGUUGAACCCAGCUAAACCAGUAAAAGAUGAAAUUGCCUCUCAACCUUCCCCGAGAAAAGUUUUUAAAGUGGGAGGGAGGGAUACUAUAGACGAAUACCUCUUCUAUAUAGACGAAUACCUCUUCUAGCUAGUGGAUCCAAACACCUUUAACUAAAGUAGCUAAAAGAAAGUUUCUAGAGUUUAGUUAGGUGGAUCCUAACAGGGCUAGGACCAUAGAAGCCUGAUCGCCUUGAGAUUCCUUGUUUGUUUAUGGGAGAAUGGAUAGGAUCUCAGCUUUGUCGUCCUCCCAUCCCAGUAGCUGGAGAUGUAUUUUAUGGCACUAGCUGUUGCUACCUGCUCUGAUCAGUUUACUAUAAAACUGCCAUUAUAUUGUAGAGUAUGUAACAGCCUGAAGAAAACAUUUGCAGAGCUCAGCAGCAACCAUGGGGAUUACCUAGUUGCAAAUAAGACACCCAAUGGCACUUCUUUUUUACCCAGCCAGAACUGAGCAACCCGGAUUCAGGGCAAAGAGCAGAUCACUUCAGGACGAAACAUUUAGCAACACCUUCAGUUACCGAGAUACAUAAGGUGAACAAACUCAUCAGCGGUGUCUUCAGCUGCGAAAAAUUCACAUAAUCUCAAGUAACUUUCUCACUCAAGAAAGGACCGAAGAAGCGCUGUGUGGAUUGCUCGGUAUUGCAGUAAGUGAAUGUAUAUGAGAGGGAUACACAUGAAACAGCUCAUUUCCUCUUUAAUUGUCUGUUCUAAACUACAGUGUAUGAGAAGAAAGAGGCCGUGCAUUAUUCUGUAUUUUUUCUACUCCAAGUGUAAAUUUGGGGACUCAGCCCCCAAUGUUGAAGUAAACCGUAUAGAAUUCGUCCCUCAAGCUGUACAGUGGCUCCAGGAUGAAGUUCCUCCUCACUCCCUUUGCGAUAAAGCUGAUUGGAUGGUACUGCCUCAGUGGGGCAGUCUGCACAAAGCUCGCCGCCUGCUCGAGUAUCCCACCAAUGCUCUGAAGAGAGCUCUUGCAGCUGACCUGAAUCUUAGUCUCUGCAGAGUAAUCCACGCCUGUCACCAAGAAGCACCCUGGUUUGGUCCCGAGCUCGAGGGAAACUGAAUUAGGAUUUCCAUCGAGCCCGGGUAUUAUGUUGAAGAGGGAAUCUGAACCCUUCUGCGCGGAUAGGGUGAGGUUGUUGGUGAUCACAGUUCCUGGCAAGUCAAAUGGCUCGAUCAGCACGGAAGCUCCCUUCAUGGUUGUGCUGUAUGUGUCAUGCAGCUCCGUUGAGUCCUGAGGGUGUGCCCUGAAUGUUGCGUGGAUGGCGAUGUCGGUGCCGUCAACUUCAGGUCGCUCUUGCAUUGUUAGGGAGCCAUUUGCGCUUGAGAGGACAAAUGUUUUUCCAUUGGAUACUUGUGUGAAGGUUGCCAGCUGUGAGUUGUACACUGAAGGAACAGUGGUGAUCCAAUCUGAAAUUGUACUGCUAUUGCCAACUUUUGCAUCCCAGUCACCAGUGGAUAGGCCAGCAAGAACAAAUGGCCCAAAUAGGAUGGCUUGAAGGGAUGCAUACUCCGGCCUGUCAUCUGAACAGAUAGCUAGCAAUUAAUAUUGGAUCAAGUUCCUCAAAAAUAUUUGGAUCAAGAUUCUCUCUGUACAAAAAUCUGAAUAUUAUCACACAUCGUAGCAAAAUCCGUUAUUUCUACUAGCGCCCCUAUGUUUUUGUAGUAUAAGUGUACAACCACUGGUUAUCAUGGUGGUAUAUCAGUGUGCGAGCCAAGUAAAGUCAGCCAAUUUGUUCUUCAAUCUUAAAUUAGUCAACAGUGGAAGUAUCAUGAGUUACCUUUAAUUGCUUCAGUUCUUAACCUGAUGGGAAAGCGUAGUGAUAAGUGAUCCUCUGAGUUCCAUUGUUUGGUGACUGAGAGGAAAGAUCCUGCCCAUAAAAUAACAUAAGGUAAUGAACUGGGCUUCAAAAAUCGAUGAUAAUUUGAAUAUUGAACAGAAUGGAAUGAUUUUACCUGGAGAUAAUGACCCCAAAUCUUUGCCAUUUAGAUUUGCUCCUGCACCAUCAGCAAAUGUCCAUGAUGGAAUUCUAACAUUCAAUUUGGCAGACUGACUUGUCGUCUGAACAAAUAGCAAACAAAUGAGCUGAGUGAAGAUGUUUUUUAUCUGAAUUCAACGUAUAAAGAAUUGAAAAUAAUUACCUCUGCAGAAAUGGAGAGUGAAAUUUGAAGAUACAGGUCAGAAGAACUGAGGGUUUUGAUUUGCUGAGUAACAGUGAGCCCAGCUGCUUUCCAGUUGAAAGUGCUUGGUAUGUACUGAAUGAUGUUGAGUGCAGGUGUAUCUUCUUUCUCCUCAAAGUAAAUAGAAUCGCCAAGUUUUGAAAAGGAUUCUAUACCUGCACAUGGAAAUCAUUAUAUUUUGAAAUAAACAACUUGCUCGAGAAUAAAUGCGACCCCAACGUUCACAGCUUGAGGCAAUAAAGCAGAAAGGUUAAAAAUGAAGGGGCUAGACACUGCCUUUAGCUUAUGGAAUCAAAAUUGGAUAGAAACAGUUGGUUGAAAUCAAGCAGAAUAUUCACAUCAAGGCAAUAAAUAGAUGUUGCAAUUUUUGUAUUACCUGUCCCAUAACAACACCAGAAAGAAUCGUACUUUGUUCCCCAACCAUGAUAACUCACAGCCUUAGAGUGUCCAGGGGCCUGGGGUAGCAUGUAAAUCAUCACACCAGGAUCUGUCCCCCUUUGAAUGCUUAAAACACCAUUUAUCAGUGCUCUUUCAUAGUAAUCUGCAUAUGAUAUUUCCUUUGUCCAUCGGAAUAGGUUGCGAGAUAUCUGGAUAUGACACAGGUUUACAUAUGACACAUUUCUAAACAAGAAAACAAUUUUUUAGUAUGGUUUCACAACCUUAAGCAUGUUGUAAGUGGUGCAAGAUUCCUCAUUCUCAGUACUCAGAGUCUCAGCUAAAUGUUUUGGGUCAGUCCUGAAAAACAAUUAAGAGAAUCAGUUCCUUGCCAAAUAUAACUUUCGAUAUACUAUGGAAGUAUUGAUGCCAUUAAUCAAGCAUCUACAAGCUAUAUUACCAGAAUUCACCAGCAGAUGUGCCACCAGUCGCGUAGCUAUGAGAUGAAUUUAUUGUAUCCAUAAAGAAUGUGGCAAUUUGCUGUUUCAAAAAUGAGGCUUAUGGUCAACUUCACUCAAAUGGUGGAGAACAAAUGAUAAAAAGAAGACAGAAGAUGGUACUACUUCAGACACAGAGACGCAGAUACUCAUAGGCAAAAGGCUAAAAUGGAUGUAAAGGAAAGAAACAUAUAAAUCCAAAGAGCUGUGCUAAACACGCAUAAUGUCAGCAUAUUUCAAAAAAUUGAAAACAGUUUAUCUUAAUCCAUUCGGAAUUUUAGUAAUAACAGCAAGAGUCAUACAUAUCUUAAUUUUUAUUAACCCAUUUUUCCUCUUCUGAACAGUAGUCAGUGUCUUUAUGUAAACUGAUAACAGCAUGCACUUUAUGUCCGCAUCCCCUAACAGAUUCCUCACUGUCUAUGAAAAUGGAAUACUUCAACUCUGUAGUAAUAAAUUUCGCAGUGAACUUUACCUUGUAAAGAGGAUCUCCGGUAACUUCAUACCUCAUCUGUGCACCAAUGACAACUGGAAUGUGUGUAUUGGAAUGGAAGCCUGAAAUGCUGUCAGCCUGAAAUGAAACAAAUACACAAACAACGCUAUCACUAAACGAAAAAUCCCUCGAGAGGAACAGUAAUUCUAGUCCAUCGAUUGAGUCCUGUACUAGGAACCCAAGUUCAAUUUCCAUGAAAGUGUACACUUUACAUGGUAAUACCAGUUCAGUAGUGGCAUAAUUAAAAUCUGUUCGAUAUAUAGACAUGUAGUGACCACUGGAUGAUAAGCAAAUUGAACUGAAGUUAGUAAUCACAAUUCUUAACAUAGUUAAAACUGAAACUGGUUAAGUUCUAUUUCAGUCAUUUAUUGUAAUGUAAACAUAAUCCUAGCUAUCACCAAAUAGCUGAAGAUUCACAACUAGCAAACCAAAUCAGUGUUUCAGCACACCUGAACUGCAAGCAGCCCAAGAAAGCAUGGCUUAUCGAAGAGAUGGGCCAGUGUCAAAUGCUUCAGAUCAUUCUGCCCAAUUAAGAGAAAGUCAGCAUAUCAGCUAGAUAUAACUGUAUUAAUCGAUGCUACACUUGUAACAAACGGCAAAUCACCGUUAUUGUGUAGAGCUGAUAGAGCACAUCAUUCAUCCCACCAGUUUCCUCAUUGAGAGACUCCCAGUGCCUCUCAAUGCUGUAUUUCUGUAUGACAUUCUUCACCCGAUCACUGAAAUAAUUAGCCAUCUUUACCACCAUGUCAAGAGCCUUGGAAUUCCCAGCCACCGUGUACUGAUCAAGAAGGCCUUGCAUAAUCUGUAAACCAAAAAUUAGACCCACUCAAAUUGGUGAUGAUCAUUCAUUCAUUGCACAAUCUGUAAACCAAAAAUUACACCCACUCAAAUUGGUGGUGAUCAUUCAUUCAUUCACAUAUUUAUCAUGAAGUAGAAACUGAAAACCCCCAUGAACCUUGUGGAUUGUGUAGUAAGGGGCCCAGACAGGCCUGAUGGCCUCAACCCAAUCGAAGAAUUCCGACGGGAAGGCCGACAGGUACCCUGUGCCCAUCUUCUUCUGACAAUCAUAGAGCGCGUCGACGACAGACGACAUUUUCACAUUAAGAGUAUCAUUGUGUGUGCUAGCCCACAUCUUUGCAGUAGCACUCAGGUAAUGCCCUGAAAAGAACAACGGCAGGACGCUGAAAUUCAGCCUAGCUGCGAAAUUGUAGUGGGUAAAUGCUACAGAAUCGAAAUCAAACUGAGAUGCGGUGGCGCACCAACAAAGUGACCCCGGAGCUGGACGUUAGGGCCCUCCCACCCGCCAUAGGGCGUUCCCGGCGCCGUCAGGCCGGCUUGCUUGCGGAAGCUCCAGACGAGGCGGUCGACGUCCAGGAGGAGCAGGUACUCCAGAUUGGUCUGCUGUGCUUGCCAGUACGGGCUGCCCGGCUCAAGCCGCACGUCGUGCAGGGAGGCCUCGGAGAGGAACGCCCCGGCCGCAACCCCGGGCCGCGGCGCGCCGGCGGUGGCGCCCCGGAGCUUGCGGUAGAGCAUGAGCCAGUCGAACGCCUCCUCGCGCCGCAGAGCCCGCCGUGGCAUGAGCGACAUCCAGGCGGACUCGUCGGUGGGGGUGAGGUGCUGCUCGUGGCCAUGCUCAUGGGUGUGGCGACCGUGGUGGCUGCGCUCGGGCACCGGCGCCCGCGGCGCGGACCGCAGCUGCGUCGCCGCGCGCUCCGUGUGCGACGUCAGCCCCGGGAACGCGUUGGUGCACGACUUACCCUCCGCGCCGUGCCAGCCGGCUGCGGCGGCUAAGAUCACCACGGCCCCCAGCGCCGCCGCCGCCGGCAUGCCCGGCCCUCUCGCCAUAACCAACCCCCCUUUCUUGGCAAGAACCACUCGUUACCCUGUCCUCAGUUGACCGACACACACCGCAUAAGCGAAAGCCUCCAAAAACCCAAACCUGUAACCUGUGAGAAGGGCGAGGAGGAUAAGAUUAAGCAUCACGAAAUGGUGACAGCGCAUCAAACUACCAGUGAUUCAACCAAGAAUUGCGCGGAAAGCAAUUCAUACGAGGGGAACAAAGAUCGGAGGGAGGAUUGAAGAAGACGACCUCGACUCACUUCACUGGAGUGAGACUGUGACAGUGAUGUUUACUGUUUCCGUCUCGAGAGGAAGGAGGAGAAAUUGCUCCUUUUUCGCCGGGGACGGAUCAACGGAAUAGGGGUGGGCGACAAAUGCGCAUCGGGAGAGCGACGGUUUAUAUCAGAGGAUUCUUGGACCCCAAGAGCCGCAAGGCGACGCCAUCAUCACCCAUCCAUCAUCUACCGGUUCGUCCCAAUCCACCAUGGCCGUCGCCCGCCGCUUGCUUGCACGCCACCGCCGGCCCGCCGCACGGCAGCAAGUGGCGCAUCGGCAUCACGUCGGAGAGGUAAAAGCUUCUCUGCCCUUUUCAGACCCAAGGGCAGAGACGGCAACUUGGCAGCGGAGCUCGCAACCGAAACCGGAGAGCGGAUGCGUCAGGGUAAAACCUACCCUGUUGGUGGAUGGAUCACCGGAUUGAGCUGAACUUGCAACUGAACACUCUCGGAGAUUCCCUGAUCUUGUCAUGCUUCUGCCGUUUGCAGGACACGGCAUUGCAUGGCAUCUAACCGAUCCUGUGUUCCGGCUCAGCCUCAUCUGUUCGAUGUGCAGAGGCCGAUGCAGCAGACCCCAGAGGCGUGCUGCGUGCAUAUCCAUCGAUUGAUAGAUCCAUUUCCUUCUGACAAUAGAAUCAUCGUGCGCAUAGACCACACCUGCAUGCCAAGACAAUGUCACAUGGAUGAAUAGGAUGCGAAGUGAUCGAUUGUUGUGUCAGUUUCAGAAGGCCGAGUGGCAGCAUGUUGUCGGUCAUGUUCUAUACUACCUCUGAUGGGCCUUGAGGCGAGAGCAAUAUCUCCGCCCUCCCAAGAACAGAGGAUGCCCAAGCUCUUCUGAAUACCACCAAACAAGCUCCCUUAGGAUCCAUGCUGAAAUCGCACAAGAUAUACCAAACAAAAUGUGUUCAAGCUCUUCUUAAAACAUAAAAUGAAAAUCAAAAGAUUUUUGGGCGAGAAUGGGAACAACGGUAAUCAUCCUUGAAGUCGACCCAAACUUUUGACUAGUUUCCAACCCCAAUCAUUGCCGAUCCAGGCCCAAAUCUAGCCCACCUCAGGCACCCGCAAUGGUUAAAGAGGGUUUGCUCUCUGUUACUUGUCUACCAGCCCUGUUUGGAUAUCAUAUGCUAAAUUUUAGUACAGUGUUAAAUUUUAGCACCCUCAAAUAAAAGGUUAAAGUUUAGCACCUUGGGGUGUUUGGAAAGGAGGCUAAACUUUAACACCUGGGUUGACAAAAGACUCAUUUAUCCCCACUUUCUUCCUUUCUUUCUCCUCUCUCUCCUCCUCUUCUCUCGCUCUUCUCCCCACCUUCCCCAGCCGCACCGGCCUCCGUGCCCCUAGCUGCCCUCCCUCCCCCGCUGGGAGGUGGCGGCCGCGCGGCCAAGCUCCUCUCCCUCCCUGCGCCAGCAAAAUCACCUCCGGGCGUCGCUCCUCACCCUCCUCCCCCGGGUCAGAGCCACCGCCGCGCGGCAAGGACUCCUCCUCCACCGGUCCCGCCCCGCUCCCGACGGCAGAGAGGUGCUCCCUCGUCGCGCAGCGCCGACUCCCUCGUCGCGCGCCUUGCUGACGGGGAGGACGGGCCGGCCGUGGCCCUGCACCGAGAGAGGGGGGUGCGGAGGCGGCAUGGCCGGCGGAGGCAGCGGGGGCGGCGGAGGCGGCGUGGCCGGGUGGAGGAGGCGUCGCCGGCAAAUGCGGUGGGGCCGGGCGGAGGAGGCGUGGCCGGCGGAGGUAGCGAGGCCGGCGGAGGAGGCUUGGCCGGCCGAAGGAGGAGAGAGAGGGGGGUGGGGGGCAACCAGGGAAAUUUUAGAUAGGGGACCACUUUUAGCACCUAUUUGAUGUGCUAAAAAAAGUGGGGUGCUAAACUUUAGAACACCACUUUUAGCACACCUGUUUGGGAGCUCUAGUGCUAAAAGGGUGCUAAAAGUGAGGUGCUAAAGUUUAGCACCCCUCUUCCAAACAGGGCCAUAAUAUUUAUAGAUCCAUCACUUAGCGGAUUAUCUGUAGUAUUUAUUGCUAAGUUUCGUGGGUCGUAUAGUAUUUUUUUAGUCCUCCUACUCUUCUCUCUCUCCUCCUUCCCCAUCCCCCACACCGACAACUGCUUUUCCGGCUGACCUUGUGAUGAGAACAUUACCUGCUCGGAUACAACCAUAUUAGCAACUUUUGAUUCACAGGUAAAAUAAUUCUUUGAAAAUUCAUUUGAUGAAUUGAUGCUACACCAUGAUGUGUGUUUAUUGUCAUUUGAUACGUACGUGGAUCAAAACGAGUGUUAAACACACAUCGAAGGCAUGGAGGACCAAAGAAGUUGAUUAGAUUCCAAGUCCAAGUAUUCCCAACGUCCUCCACUAGGCCACCACGUCACUUUUCGCCCAAGAAAAGAAAGAGAUCAAAUUCAACACGUUUUGGGGCUGAAUUCAGACUACAAGCACUGCGCCAAAUUGCAACGGCCGACACGACCUCAUCCAAGCUCCGUUUUGGGCGUUCAAGUACUCCUUGGAAUUCUUAUGAAGUCUAUUUUCAUAUGGAUCUAGACUCAUGUUUAUAUAUUUUCUGAGGCGGUCGCAAUGAUCAAAUUACUACCGAGAGAUUUUUCUGUCAAAGGUGCUGCGUUGCCUUAUUUUGGUCCAAUGGGCCUUGUAUCAAUUCGGGUCCAAUAAGGACGUGUCCUAGGGUUGGAGCACGACACCAGGACCCCUAUGGUCGUCCUCCUAGGUAUAAAUAAGGUUUAGAGCCACCACAAACAGAUUGAGUUUUGUUUAGAUGUAAGUUUAGCCAUUGCUACUUCCUUGUAGACGCGUGUGUCGACUAGACCAUCCGUUCUACUUGAUUCAGAAUCCCAAAUUUGUAAUUUUAGAUUGGUUUUCAUCUCCAUAUUUGCAAUUGAGUUGCUUGUUCUACUUAUUCUUACUUAUUCCUCGAUUGCUUGCAGGAAUUACCCUAGUGGUUUGAUUGAUCGUGCUCCACGAGAUCGCGGCGACCAUUGAAGAUGGUGUAUCGGUUGCUAAGACGCAGCAUCCUUGGAUGGUUGUAGUCGGGGCUGUGAACGUCACCGCGCGCUCGAGCCGGCGGAGUGGCGGAGCCACGAUAGCUCGACGGCCCCAGCUGCGCCCCAUCCACCUCCUGCACGGCGGCAUGACCAUGCUCCGUCACAUCCUGCACCGACCACCACGCAGCCACGCUCCUCCCUGCUUGCGCCACCUCGUGCUGGAGCUACCGUCGCCACACCGGGCGCGCUCCGCCCGCCCCCGCACCGCUGCUGCGGUCUUCUGCCCCUCUGCCGAGCUCCACGCUCGUAGCGUGCCUUGCUUGGUCUCGCUCCACACCGACACCGGGCCCAGCAUAUCCGGCCACCACAUACGCGUACCCAUUGCUAGGCCCCUGACACCCGCACCGCUGUGCUCUUCCUGCUCCCUAGGCCCCACACAUCAGUCUCCGAGCAUCUGCUGCCGAAUCAGAUCUGAGAGCGAGCAGAGGGGAUGCGAGCGGCCGACCGGGGCGGCGGGACAGCGAGCGCAACGAGCUGUUGCAGGCGAGUGGUGAUGUAGAUGGGAUGCAAGGUAAAUCCACCAAUUUGCACAGGUUAGGGUCUGUUUGGGAAGGGGGUGUUAAAGUUUAACACCCCACUUUUAACACUUUUUAACACUUUUUUAUCCAAACACUUGUGUUAAAAGUGAGGUGUUAAAGUUUAACAGCCCAUUUUUCAUAAACACAUGGAUGAGGUGUUAAAACUUGCUAAAGGUGUUAAAAGUGGUCCCCCUCUCUACUUUUUCCCAGGUUACCCCUUCUCUCGCCUCCCUCUCUCUCCGCCGGCCAUAAAUGAGGGGGCAAUGGAGUCAUUUCUCACCAAAGGUGUUAAAGUUUAACACAUCAUCCAAACACCCCAAUGUGUUAAACUUUAGCACUCUAUUUGAGAGUGUUAAAACUUUAACACUUGUUGAAUUUUAACAUAGGGUAUCCAAACAGGCCCUUAAUCUCUGCACCUACCAGAUGCAAAUUUGCCAAAUGUAAUCUCUGCACCUCACGAGCUUGAUUGGGCUGGCUCGAGCCUGGCUCGUGAGCCUAGCUAAGGUCCUGUUUGGCAACACACUCCUAAACUUUAGUACCUGUCACAUCGAAUGUUUGAUACUAAUUAGGAGUAUUAAAUAUAGUCUAAUUAUAAAACUAAUUGCAUAGAUAGAGUCUAAUUCGCGAGACGAAUCUAUUAAGCCUAAUUAGUCCAUGAUUUGAGAAUGUGGUGCUACAGUAACUAUUUGCUAAUGAUGGAUUAAUUAGGCUUAAUAGAUUCAUCUCGUGAAUUAGUAUAGAAUUUCUGUAGUUAGUUUUAUAAUUAGCUCAUAUUUAGUUCUCCUAAUUAGCGUCCGAACAUCCGAUAUGACACUCCUAGUUUAGGAACACCCCGUGAGGCAGACCAGGCUGCCAAACGCCCCCAAAGCGAAGCCACGGCCCACGGCCCCGUCGGCCGUCCGCCACCGUUUUUUUUCCCUCUUCUUCUUCGGUGCAACUCCUACCAGACCGUGCAGCCCCACGCGAUCCAGCUACCACCCGUGGCCGCGCUCGCCGCCUUCCUCGCGCCGCCGCGGAUCCACAAAGGUAUUCUUGGCGUGGUGCUUUCGCUCGUGUCGCGCGCCCCUGGUCCUGUCGCGGCACCCGGCGUGGAUCUUGGCCUGGAUUGUCCCGAUACUCCGCAGCAAAAGCAAGGGUUCCGAGGUGGUUUCGCGGUUUCCUGGCGUCUCCUCUUGCUCGCCGGUUCGUCCCAAGGUGCGGCCUUCUGAAUUCCUCGUACUUCCAAAAUCGAUGUGAUAUGUUCUGUGCGCGCUGGGAGGAGUGCAUCUGAGCACCUGCAUUGCAUCUUCAGGACGCUUGUUAGUGAGCUUAAUUGGAUUUGUUCUAGAUCUACCGCAAUUAUAUGCGUUCAUCCGUGGAAAAAAAUGUUGUUUUCGUUUCCCUGGAUGUCUAGCCUGUGGCUGCUAUACUUGUAUGCGAUGAAAUGAUGCUACAUUAUCCUGAAUUGCUGGCAGGGCACGUGUUAAUUUUUUGUUGCAGGCAUAUCUUGGUGCCCGUGAUUUAAGUGGUACAAUUAAGGCCAGAAGAAUCAGCUUUAUUCAACCAGUGUUUGGAUAUGGUAUCAGCUAACCUUGGGUUGGCACAUUAUGUACUGGAACUCUUCUUCAUCGCACCAAGUUAGGAACACCAUUUUUCUCAAAAGGAUGGGGAGGUACCAAACUUGAUUUGCUAGAGAGCAUGGUGAAGCAGCUGUUCCCUGAAGCACAUUGCCAAAACUGGCCACCAACUGCUGUGCAGCCAAUGUGGAAAACAAUUUGGGAGACAAACAGUUCUUGUCUGCGAGAGGGUGUUUUCAGGACUAAAUGUGAUGAGAGACUAGUCGAUGCAUUGCCCCCUGAAAAUCACAAUGCAGGAGUUGCUUUUCUUACUCCUAAAAACAUUACACCAGAGAAGAUGUCAUGCAUGGUCCAUCUUGCAGGUACAUGAUUUUGUGGUUUCAUUAUAUUUGUUCCCUAAUGCACUGCAUAGAUUAGGAAAACCAUUUUCUGAUAUGAAUGUUUAGCUUGUAUGCAUUUUAAUCAGUUUCUGUUGUCUGGUAGAACGGAUUAUGAACGUAUUAGUCUGCUGGCUUUCUAGCGCUGCCAAGUUUAACAUUCCUCUUUUGACAGCUUCCCUAUCUUUUUUUGAAGAUAAAAAACUUUCCUCACUGCCAAGUGCUAAAAUUGAAUAAGGACUAGUCUCCUUUUACUGUUAGUUUCAUAUUGAUUGAUGAAUAUUGUCACAAAAUUGUUCAUAGUAAAAAAAAACUGCUCCACUCUUUUUCCUAUAAAAAUAUGUCUCCGCUCUCAUCUAAUGAAUCUAAAUUUUCUGUAAUAAUAUAGGCACUGGUGAUCACACAUUUGAACGCAGGCUUUGGCUCGGUGGGCCUCUUUUGAAGAACAAUAUUGCAAAUAUGGUUCUUGAGAGGUGAGAGUUACUUGCAUUCUUUGUUAAAAUAUUUUCUCCACAAUUCACCAAGAUCUGAUCCAUUGAACCACAGCCCCUAUUAUGGACAGUGACGUCCUAGCAUGCAGGGUGGUGCAAAGCUUCAGUGUGUGAGUGGCUUGUUACUUUUAGGGAAAGCCACAAUUGAUGAAGCUCGCAGUCUCCUGUACUCGCUGCAGGCUGAGGCUGGUUACGGCAAGAUGGGCAUAUGUGGGCUCAGCAUUGGUAUGUUAACACUGGUUUUGCUCAUGAAUGAAUAUAGCUAGUCUUAAAAAUAAUGUAGCAGCCUAUUUGUCAAACCCAUCUGAUUCUUAUAAUUUUCUGGUUAUAUUUACAAGGUUCCUUUGACAUUCUUCUCAAAAAAUAAUUCUUUGCUGAUGACACAGGUGGUGUCCAUGCCGUGCGUGAUGGGGGGAUCCCUUCAUCCUACACCAAUUGCUACACCGCCAUUUCUCACUUCGCACUCUGCCGUGGUACCUUUCUGUGAACGGGUCUACAAAUAUGCCACAGCUUGAGAUGUGUUGAGAGAAGAUGCAGCAGCAUUAACUCAAGAUGUAACAUCUUUGACAGAAGAUGCAGCACAGAAAACUGGGGUCACUAUUGAGGAAGUCAUAGAUAGGUUGCGGUCAGUGUUGUCUUUGACUGAGGUCACUCGAUUUCCAGUCCCAAAGAACCCGCAGACUGUCAUCUUUGUUGGUGCAACGGUUAGUGUUUUUUUUUAACCUUUUAACAUCAAUUUAUAAUCUCUGAAAACAUGAUCUCCCCCUCCUCCCCCCCCCCCCCCCCCCCCCCCCCCCCCCCCCCCGAGCCUUUUACUUUGUUUCACGAUUCUGAUAGGUUAACAACGAUCAGAGUAUAUCACUAGUAGACUGGCUAUUUUACUACUAUUACAGUAGGACUUCAGAGUUAAGUCAAAUUGUAUCUUUCACCUGCACUGUUUACAACAAGUUCUUUUUGAGACCACACUGUUUGCAGCAAGUUACCGUAGCACUCCAGCAAUGUUCAGAAAUUGAAACUUACAUUGAUAGCAGAUAGUUUACUCAAGCACUCUUAUCUUCUCAUGUUCAGCAAUGUCUCCUUAUUUCAGACAGAGAUUGCUUACUCGAGUAUUCGUUUUCAGCUGGAGCUUUCUUCUAAUCUGAAGCUAUGUUCCCUUUACAGGAUGAUGGUUAUAUUCCCAUAAUCCCAUACAUUCAGUCAUGAAGCUCCAGAAGGCAUGGCUGGGCUCAGAAGUCCGGUGGGUAACGGGAGGCCAUGUUUCGUCCUUUUUCCUCCACAAUGACGCAUUCCGCAAAGCCAUCGUCGUCGCCCUUGACAGAUUGUAACGUCUAACAAGCUCGAGCCAACAAAAGACCCAUCUUUUUUUUUUUUCAACUCGACCUAACCAUUGAUCAGGUCUAUUAUCACCCUAACAAAAUUCUUGCAAUAUUAUCACCCUAUCAAAAUUCUUGCAAAAUCAAACAACACACACCCUAACUUGUACGAGAACCGGUCAAUUUCUUAGGUGAUUUAACACACUUGGUUAUACUGCAUGCCCACUUAAGAUCAAACUUAGGUCUUACAUCAUGUAUUUCUUAUUAAUACGUUUGUUUUGUUGACUAAUAGGCGAUGCGUUUGUUGAAUCUGCGCAUUUGCAGUGGCUUCGUUAAUCUCAAGAUACGUUUGCUCUUAUGCAUUUACAGGAUGUCAAGGCAUCCUCAGGGCUCGUAGAGUGGAGGAAAAAAAACCGCUUAAGAAAAGUUUCCAUGUUUCACAUGAAAAAUUUAUGAGCUUUAGGUGCAGAUGCCAAAUAGCAAGAAAUGAAAAAUAAAAGAAUUAGAUGAAACAUAUCGUAACCUAGAAACAAUGUCGUAACUCGAUAUCUCGAGCUUAUCGAUCUUUCUCUAAAUAAACUAGCUCUAACACCACUAGUCGAAUCCAGAUCAUACCAGUAUCUUACACAAGUAACUUCAUUUUCUAUGCACCUUUGCAUGGACGCAUGCUCCCACGCGGUGAUGCCGCCAUUACCUAACGUUUAAACUCCCUUUCAAAAGGGCAAAAAAUCGUGGCCUACGCAUGGGGCGGGCAGAGAACCGUGCUGCAACCGGCUGCCUACCAUCACCAUCUGCUUCUCUUUCCUCUCUCUUUCACAAGGCAAUACGUGCUGAGGCAUUAUCUCUCCGCUUUUGCGUAGGAACCCUUUUGAUCUUGAGAAAUUGCCUAAUUGUUCACAUUCCAUUCCAAGACGACUUCAAGGUGGUAAAGUGGCAGCAUGAUCUUAAAGCUCAUAACUGAGACGAUAAAUUUUUUAAGAUAAUCUACACAAUAUAAGAUUAUACGGUACAAAUACUACCAAAUACUAGCUCUUUAGAAGGUUUUUAUUACUUCAUGUAUCAAGUAUCAUGUAUCAAAGGUAGAUUGCUGACCGCGAAUACCACGCGGUAAGGUUUUUAUUACUUCGAUGUUCUCUUGAAGGAACUAACUUAUUUAUGGUUGAUGUGCAGGCUCGCUCUACAAUAACGUUACAAUCCAGUGCCAUUUGCGUUUUACACGCAUCAUAAUGUAUCUUUUGAUAUGCAAGAACUUAAAGGAUAAUUGCAAUAAACAUUCUAUUAAGUGAAAAACACCAAUUUUUUUAAAAGAAAAUGAAUAACUAUCAUGUAAUAUAUAUUUGAGGGGAAAAAAUUGUAGUUAUAACAUUCUAAAAGUUGAUGCACUUAUUACUGUUGUGUUUGCAUAUGUUAUCACAGCUAUGAUAGCUAGAUUCAAAACGAUACUCCCUCCAUCCUAAAUUGUAGAUCAUUGCUAUGCACUUAGGUAUGGUACAUAUUUAGAUAUACAACAAAAAUUAUGUACUUAAAAAAACUAAAAUGACCUACAAGAAAGAAAACGGGAGACUAACAUAAGAGCAUCUCCAGCAGACCCCCAAUAAAUAUUUUCCAAUGCCUAGUUAACAAGGAUAUCCUAAAAUCAUUUUCAUCGUUAUUGGGAGAAUUGUUUUUGCUGUCUCCCAAUAAUCUCAUCCCAAUCCAACUACCGUAUUGGAAGAGUCACAACUCCGCUUUUAUUUAGGGAAAGUUAGGGUGAAUUAUUGGAUUGUCCCAAUAAUUAUUCGGAAAAAGGAAAAGUAAAGGGAGACUGCUGGAGCACUAGUUUUUUACUAACACUUCCGGUACGAAAAAGACCGGUAUUGCAUUCUAGCAGCCAUGGUGUACCGACAUGCUAUAAAAAAGUAUUUUUGGCAUAUUGUUACACGGUAGAAGCUUGUGAACCCAUCAAGUCAUGUAGGACAGUUAUUCAAAUUUCUACCGAUGCCAAAUUUUGCCUUAUAAAAAGAUAGAAACCGGCUUUUUAAAAAAAUAUAGAAACCGAUUACUCCAAUAUUCAAAGUUCACACCAUUUAUAGGAGAAGAAAAAGGACGCUACGCGGCUCCUUCUUCCCCAUCAAGAAAGAAAAAGAUCUCCCCCUCCAAAAUUAUAUAAACCCGCAACCAGCAGGGACCUCACUGAAAAUCCACGGCCGCAUCCAUCCCAUCCGUCCAUCAGCUCACGCCACCGCGAUCGGACGGCGCCUCCCCCACCUCAGCCAGACCACUCCACGCCACCAACCGCAAAUAAUUCGAAAUGGUAGGGGCAAGGAGGUAACUUCCCGUCGCCUCCGCCUUUUUUAUCUGGCUCCCCCACCUUCCUUCCCCUGGCCCAACGACGCCCCCAUUUCGGAGCUCCUCGCGAUUCCAAUCCCCGCACGCCUCCUCCGCCUCCGCGGCCGGCUCGCGCAGGGUUAGGGUUUGCUCUGCUCCCCAUCUCGCCCUGUGCUGUUUUUCUUUCCUGUGAGAUUUGGUAGGGAAGGCUUGAUCUGUUUCUUCCGGGGCCUGAUUCGGCGUCCCUUGAUCGUUCUGCGCGUUUUUCUUGUGAUUUUUUGGGGUGUCGAUUCGUUGGUGCGGGGGAUUCCACGGGCCGUGGAAUCGCGAAGGGAACGGGCGCUUCUUGAUUCGGUCUUCGAUUGGUGGUUUCUUCUGUUCAGGUGGAAGUCCUUUUGGGUGGGGAAAUGAAAACGCGUUCUUGUUUUUUUUUCUUAUUAUUUUUUUAAAUAAAAAUUGUAUGAAGGUUGUUUCACUUGGCCAAAUGAUUAGGCUUUACCUGUCUUUUUUUGUCUGAUUUUUUAAAGUUCGUAGCGCUGCUAAAUGUUACUAGUGAUUCAAGUAAUUUUUUCCGUGGAAAUCGUGCGUAUUUAGUUGCAAGCUGUGGAUUAGUUAAAUUACUUGGCAGAUUUGGUUUAUACUGUCCUCGAUUUACAUCACCAUGGUUUUUUUACAGAGAUUUGAAUUGAUAUACCCUAAUUCGUUUAGGAAUACCGUUUUGAUUUGUAUUACACAGCGUGUUUUGUGAUAGUGACUUCCGCGAUGCUCUCCCUAAAUAUUAGGAUCUUGUUUUGUGAUAUUUGCUGAAGUGACAAAUCGUGUGGUUAUUUACAUCGAUUGUUUAAUGUGCAGCUUAUAGUAGUCAUGGAACACAAGGAGGCGGGCUGCCAGCAACCCGAGGGCCCAAUCCUAUGCAUCAACAACUGUGGCUUCUUUGGCAGUGCGGCCACCAUGAACAUGUGCUCCAAGUGCCACAAGGAGAUGAUAAUGAAGCAGGAGCAGGCCCAGCUAGCUGCCUCCUCCAUCGAUAGCAUUGUUAACGGUGGUGAUGGUGGGAAAGGGCCUGUCAUAGCUGCAACCGCCGCGGUGGCGGUUGCUCAAGUUGAGGAGAAGGCAAUUGUUGUGCAGCCUCCACUUGUAGCUGAAACCAGUGAGGCUGCUGCUGUAAUCCCCAAGGCCAAGGAAGGCCCGAACCGGUGCGCAACCUGUAGGAAGCGGGUUGGCCUGACGGGAUUCAACUGCCGAUGCGGUAACAUGUACUGUGCGGUGCACCGUUACUCCGACAAACAUGAAUGCCACUUUGACUAUCGGACUGCAGCUAGGGAUGCGAUUGCCAAGGCCAAUCCUGUGGUGAAGGCGGAGAAGCUCGACAAGAUCUGAGAGGGGCAAUGGGGAGGGGGAUGGGUUGUGAUCUGCAAGAUUCAAUCAUGCAUCUUUGC
rnacentral:lncRNA from 1 species